rnacentral:rRNA from 1 species
GACGAACGCUGGCGGCGUGCCUAAUACAUGCAAGUAGAACGCUGAAGGAGGAGCUUGCUUCUCUGGAUGAGUUGCGAACGGGUGAGUAACGCGUAGGUAACCUGCCUGGUAGCGGGGGAUAACUAUUGGAAACGAUAGCUAAUACCGCAUAAUAGUAGAUGUUGCAUGACAUUUGCUUAAAAGGUGCACUUGCAUCACUACCAGAUGGACCUGCGUUGUAUUAGCUAGUUGGUGAGGUAACGGCUCACCAAGGCGACGAUACAUAGCCGACCUGAGAGGGUGAUCGGCCACACUGGGACUGAGACACGGCCCAGACUCCUACGGGAGGCAGCAGUAGGGAAUCUUCGGCAAUAGACGGAAGUCUGACCGAGCAACGCCGCGUGAGUGAAGAAGGUUUUCGGAUCGUAAAGCUCUGUUGUAAGAGAAGAACGAGUGUGAGAGUGGAAAGUUCACACUGUGACGGUAUCUUACCAGAAAGGGACGGCUAACUACGUG